CUUACUUUAAAGCUUGUGUUCUAUGACCUCACCACCUUCUGAAGUAUGUCAUAGUCUUCUGGUUACCAUGUGAACUGUACACAGUCAUGGUCUCCAGAGACCAUCCUCAGAGUUACAGAGCUACUCUCAGAACCAUACUCGUGUUGAGAUUUCACUCACCUUCAAGGAGGAUGGGUCUCCCAAGCGAGCAUAGCUCAUCGGGGUGCAUGGGGCUGGCCACUAACAUCCUUGCCUUGUGUGUGCUCUGGGGACCAGCCAUGGCUAUGACUGUGUGUUUGUUGAACUUGGUGCAGGCGAAGGCAGGAGCUGCCCACGCCUUUCUCCAUGACCUUCUAGCUCUAGCCUUGAUUGGAAGCUUGGCCUUGCUCCUUUUGUUCUAGAAUUCAUUCUGUCUCCAGACAGGUAGAAUAUAAAGAAUGUUCUCAUCAUUCUCCUCCUACCAAGUCAUCCUCAAGUCAGCCAUUGUCCUUGACCUUCUGAGUUACAAGUCUCUGAGUCCUGCCCAUUCUGCGCCAGCUGUGGUCAUGGCUGUUCGGGAACCUCAUUUCUCUACUGGUUGGGGGUCCUGUCCUUAAGCUCCCAUCUGUCAGUCCUCGGGGGCCUGUCCUGGGGAACUACCUCCCAUCAACUACACCUUUGGUCUUGCAUCCAAGCCUCCGGAUGUCUUGUCCCUGAGUGCUUCCCAAAUGUUGGUCUUUGAUGUUCUUGUAGCCAACCGCCUGAAGAUGCUGGAAGCCAACUGCCUGAAACCCCCGCUUCGGCCAGUUUCCUUUACUUUCUGUUCAGUUAACAUCCUAGACCUCUGAUUCGGCCUCAGAUUUGGCUCUCGGUGCCUCUACUCCUCUGGUCCUUUCACCUCAAACUGCGGUCCAGCUCUCGAGUCUCCCUUGUAUGAACUAGAGCUCAGGUAUUGAUGACAAGUGGUUGGAUGUGACACUGGUGAGGGAGACAAGGGCCAGGUUUGAAGGGACCUGUAGCCAGACUAAGGACUCUGAACUUUAUUUUGAGCCCAACGAAGGAUUGUUGAUUUUCUUUUCUUUUGUCAGAAGUGAGACAGCCACACUGAAGCUUUCUAGGUAAAGCUCCCAGGAGCUGAAGUACAUUCUGAUCACUGACUCCUUCUCAACUCCCCGCAGGAGCCCAGCAGGGGAAGAACAAGGCUUGCUUCCCUCCUGCUCAUAGAGAGCUGAUAGCAACAACCAAGGCUACAUGCUUCCUGAGUUACAGCUGAUGAGAGACUGUCCACUCCACAACUGUCAGAGUCCUGAGCUUCAUUCCGAUUGCAACCCUGCCGCAUGCUCACUCCUUACUACUGUGAAAGGUCAUUGCUAUCAUUAUGGUGCUCAGCGGGUCUUUACUAAUCUAUUUACUCAUACUUAAAUGGAAAAUUUCAGAGUAUGUGUUUCCUCAUGGUUCUAUCUUUGGGAACAAGUCUGAUGGCCACUGCCUUUCUCCCUGCCAGAGUCAGGAUCUAGCAUCAGGGGUUUCCAGGGUUCCCUGGGAGCAGACGACUGUUGCCUAACAGCUACGUGGCUAACAGUACCACUGCCAGCAAGAACACUCCUUUACUUCACAGAAGUCUCCCCCUUCCUGCUCCACCAUGCUAGAGGGCUUGAAAUGCCUUGAAAUUCUCUCCCUUCAGAGUUGAAAUACCACUUCCCUGAAAAUAAAAUGCAUCUUCCCCAAGUGCCUGUCACAUAGUGUUGUGGACUAAAUUAUGUCACCUCAAAAUCAAUGUGUUGAAGUCCUAACCCCCAACGUAACUGUAUUUGGAGAUGAGACUUUUA
rnacentral:lncRNA from 1 species